GCGGUUGAUCCCGCCGGACCUGACUGCUAUCGGAAUGAUACUAAGCCAUGCGAGUCAUUGUAGCAAUACAAGGCAGACGGCUCAGUAACGCGUAGUCAAUCUACCCUAUGGACGGGAAUAACCUCGGGAAACUGAGAAUAAUGCCCGAUAGAACAUUAUGCCUGGAAUGGUUUAUGUUUCAAAUGAUUUAUCGCCAUAGGAUGGGACUGCGGCCUAUCAGUUUGUUGGUGAGGUAAUGGCCCACCAAGACUAUUACAGGUACGGGCUCUGAGAGGAGUGGCCCGGAGAUGGGUACUGAGACACGGACCCAGGCCCUAUGGGGCGCAGCAGGCGAGAAAACUUUGCAAUGUGCGAAAGCACGACAAGGUUAAUCCGAGUGGUUUCUGCUAAAGAAACCUUUUGUCAGUCCUAGAAACACUAACGAAUAAGGGGUGGGCAAGUUCUGGUGUCAGCCGCCGCGGUAAAACCAGCACCUCAAGUGGUCAGGAUGAUUAUUGGGCCUAAAGCAUCCGUAGCUCGUUUUGUAAGUUUUCGGUUAAAUCCAUGCGCUUAACGUAUGGGCUGCCGGGAAUACUGCAUAACUAGGAAGUGGGAGAGGUAGACGGUACUCGGUAGGAAGGGGUAAAAUCCUUUGAUCUAUUGAUGACCACCUGUGGCGAAGGCGGUCUACCAGAACACGUUCGACGGUGAGGGAUGAAAGCUGGGGGAGCAAACCGGAUUAGAUACCCGGGUAGUCUCAGCUGUAAACUAUGCAAACUCAGUGAUGCAUUGGCUUGUGGCCAAUGCAGUGCUGCAGGGAAGCCGUUAAGUUUGCCGCCUGGGAAGUACGUACGCAAGUAUGAAACUUAAAGGAAUUGGCGGGGGAGCACCACAAGGGGUGAAGCCUGCGGUUCAAUUGGAGUCAACGCCGGAAA
rnacentral:rRNA from 1 species